UUUAUUAUUAUUAUUUUUUUCUUUUGUCUUUCUUGGUUAUAAAAACAUUACUGUAAGAAGAGUGCUCUAGGCUGAGGAUUGAAAUGUGAUGUUCGGGUUCUCAUCAAGUUUCAAACGAGAAAGCUGAUUUGGUCAUGUCUAACGCAGAGAAUCAAAUGCCCCCUAAUAUGGAAGUGUGAUAAGUUAGUAGAGGAAGGAGUGAAAAGGGAAAGGUUUUACAAGUUUGGGAUAUUAAUGUGG
rnacentral:misc_RNA from 1 species